rnacentral:rRNA from 1 species
AUUGAACGCUAGCGGGAUGCUUUACACAUGCAAGUCGAACGAGUGGCGGGCGGGUGAGUAAUCUGUGGGACCGUGCCCAGUAGCGGGGGAACACUACUCGACAGUGGCGCUUAUACCGCAUCAUAUUGUAGCGCCCGAUAUGGGAUUAGCUUGUGGGUGGGGUAAAGGCUCACCAAGGCAACGCCCCCUAGCUGGUUUGAGAGGACGACCAGCCACACUGGAACUGAGACACGGCCCAGACUCCUACGGGAGGCAGCAGUGGGGAAUUUUGGACAAUGGGGGAAAGCCUGAUCCAGCCAUCCCGCGUGUAUGAGAAGGCCUUCGGGUUGUAAAGUACUUUUGGCAGAGAAGCGGUAUCUGCAGAAUAAGCACCGGCUAACUACGUGCCAGCCGCCGCGGUAAUUC